AAAAAAGAAGAGGUGGAUAUCUGGAGUUGGGUUGAGUUUCAAAAUUCAUCAUUAAAACCGUAAACCAAAAAGGAGCUCCACUGCGUUUUGUCCGCAAAGUGGUGGAUGAUCCAUCAAAUCCCAGUUCACAAGGCUACUACAGACAAAUUAACAAUCCCUUUGAAGUUUCUGAUUAAAUUUUAAUCACACCUAAAAUAAAUAUACUUGUUUGAUGCUGCCAAGUUAACUAAGCAGGUG
rnacentral:lncRNA from 1 species